rnacentral:lncRNA from 10 species
GGUAUAAGAAAUAACAAUCAUAUUUUCAUUUCUUUUCUAUCAACCAGAUCCCAGCCUAGAUCUGUGGGAUUAUGGCUUUCGUUAAGUUUAGAACAUAUUUAGCCAAUUUUUCCUCAAAUUUUUGAUUCUGCCUCUCCUCCUACCUCUUUGGGGACUUAUAUACUACCUGCUGGAAGUUUGCUCAUAGUUCACUAGUGUCUCAAAUUUGUAAAUAUUUUCUUUCAUGAUGGCAAAUUAAUCUAUGCUCAUAUCUACUCAGUGUAGCUUUCAUCUCCAGCAUUGUAAUUUGUAUCUCUAAAAGUGCAAUUUGGUUUUUAAAAGUAUCUUCUGUUACUUUAUUUAUUUUCUUGAUUUUUAUAGUAGAAUAGAGUUGAGUUACUUAUAAACAGCUUGAUCCUUUUCAUUUUUCUUUUUAUGGUGUGAGCUAACUCCCCAUACCUGAGACAAGGCCUUUCUGAGUAUUCAUUUUCCUGUGAAGUCUGAGUUUUCCCAGGCAAAUCUAUAAAAACAGACACUCUUCUUGGCACUGUAUGAGUACCAGGUGUGAUUUCCUCUAAUUUUAUAAGCCAACCCCCACCCCCACCCGGUUUGUUCUUAGGUAGUUUUCUAUCUCCCAUGCAAUUUUCAAAAUUUUGCUAAAUACUGACAGGGGGUUUCUUGCCGUUGCUUCUGUAUCUCUCUCUCCUCCUCAGUGUUUGUUCUGUAAUAUCUGCCUGCUUUGGUUUUACCAGACUCUAAGCUUCAUCAGUGUAACCAAGAGAGUCUGGUAGAUCCCACCUCAGUUUUUUCUUCCUGUGUCAUGUCUCGGAAUCUCUGCCAAGACAGGAAGCUGAAACAUCCAUAAGGUUUGCUUUCUUUCGUUUUUUUAUUUUCUGUUUUUCAGGGAUUAUUAUCUUCUUUGCCUAAUGUCCAGUAUCUGAAAAAUUGUUUAAUUUAUUUUGUGUGUUUUGAUUUUAGUUAUUUUAGCUAAGAAGAAAAAUCAUACCUGUUGCUCUCCCUUGGCUAGAGGAAGACUACACUAGAGUUUCAGCACAUGCCACAGACUGGCUAAAAUUCUUUCCUUCCCUGUUUGCUCAACUGCUUCCUUUUCAUUCUUCAUUCCUCAGUGUAGCUAUACAUCCCUUGGGGGAAUUUUCCAUGAGCCUAGUAUAGAUCUAAAUCUUAGCAAUCUGUUUCUUACAGUAUUUAUCUGAAUUUAUAACUGUCACUUUUCUGGGGCUUUGUCUUUUAGCACAUUUUAAGUUAAACAAAUGCAGAGGUUUUUGUUUUUUUCUGUUUAAUCUGCAGAGCUUAGUAUAAUGCCUUCCACGUGGCAGGCAAUCAAUAUAUAUUUGAUCAGUGUAUGAAUUAGUGAUUGUUAAAAUAUGCAGUUCUCUAUAUCCCAAAAGUACUAAUAUAUUUUAUUUCUAUCUCCUCCUUGAGACAGAUUCAACUAGCCUAUCAAAAAUCUUGGAUGCAGUUAUUUCUUGUGAAAGAGCAAGGGAACUUAAAAAAUAUCCCUGUGGGCCAGGCGCCAUGGCUCACGCCUGUAAUCUCAUCACUUUGGGAGGCCAAGGCGGGCAGAUCAUGAGGUCAGGAGAUCAAGACCAUCCUGGCUAACACAGCGAAACCCCGUCUCUACUAAAAAUACAAAAAAAAAAAAAAAUUAGCCAGGCGUGGUGGCAGGUGACUGUAGUCCCAGCUACUCGGGAGGCUGAGGCAGGAGAAUGGCAUGAACCCGGGAGGCAGAGCUUGCAGUGAGUGGAGAUCGCACCACUGCACUCCAGCCUAGGCAACAGAGCAAGACUCCGUCAAAAAAAAAAAAAAAGAAAAAAAAAUCCCUGUGAACAACUUACAGCAAAAAUGAAACAAAUGAAAAAUAAGCUUCGUGUACUACAGAAGGAACUAACAGAAGCAAAAGAAAUAAAAUCAUAGAGAAUCAAAAACUUAAAAGAGAACAAGAGCUCUGCAGUGUGAGAUUGACUUUAAACCAAGAAGAAGAGAAGAAAUGCCAAUAUAUUAAAUGAAAAAAUUAGGGAAGAAUUAGGAAAAAUCGAAGAGCAACAAAAGAAAAAGUUAGAAGUGAAGCAACUUGAACUCACUCUCCGAAUAUACAAAAUAUGGAAUUGAAGACUGUAAGAAGUAAUUUGAAUCAGCUCAAUCAAUCGCUGGUAAAAAUUUUAUAUUUCUAACUUUAUUUCAUCAAUAUUACUUUUAAUAUCCCUUCGAUUUAGUAUGUAUUAUUCAGAAUUAUGAUAAUGCCACUAUAAUAUUUAGGUACAAACUUUUGUAUAUUUCAUUCAUAAGUUUUCAUUUCUUUCGGGUAUGUACCUAAGAAUGGAAUUGCUGGGUCAUAAGUUACCUAUGCAUAACCUUUUCAGCAAUCACCUCAGUUUUCCAAUGUGUGCACUAUUUUACUUUCC